rnacentral:tRNA from 1 species
AAACAUUAGUAAGGUUCUGUUUUCCUCUUCUCACUCAAAAUGAGAAAUUCUUGUCUAGUUGGGAAGAGGAGUGCUAUUCUUCUUUUGAUUG